GAUGAACGCUGGCGGCGUGCCUAACACAUGCAAGUCGAACGUGAGGGGGUAGCAAUAUCCCUGAAAGUGGCGCACGGGUGAGUAAUACGUAGGUGACCUGCCCUGGAGUGGGGGAUAACAGCUAGAAAUGGCUGCUAAUACCGCAUAAUACCGAAUCAUUGGGAAAUGGAUUGGUAAAAACUCUGGUGCUUCAGGAGGGGCCUGCGGCCGAUUAGCUAGUUGGCGGGGUAAGAGCCCACCAAGGCAGUGAUCGGUAGCUGGUCUGAGAGGACGAUCAGCCACACGGGAACUGAGACACGGUCCCGACUCCUACGGGGGGCAGCAGUGAGGAAUAUUGGGCAAUGGGCGGAAGCCUGACCCAGCAACGCCGCGUGGAGGAAGACGGCCUUCGGGUUGUAAACUCCUUUUACGGGGGAAGAGGAAGGACGGUACCCCGAGAAUAAGUCACGGCUAACUACGUGCCAGCCGCCGCGGUAAUAC
rnacentral:rRNA from 1 species